GGCCUAACACAUGCAAGUCGGACGGUAACAGGAAACAGCUUCCUGUUUUGCUGACGAGUGGCGGACGGGUGAGUAAUGUCUGGGGAUCUGCCCGAUGGAGGGGGAUAACCACUGGAAACGGUGGCUAAUACCGCAUGACCUCUUGGGAGCAAAGUGGGGGACCUUCGGGCCUCACGCCAUCGGAUGAACCCAGAUGGGAUUAGCUGGUAGGCGGGGUAAUGGCCCACCUAGGCGACGAUCCCUAGCUGGUCUGAGAGGAUGACCAGCCACACUGGGACUGAGACACGGCCCAGACUCCUACGGGAGGCAGCAGUGGGGAAUAUUGCACAAUGGGCGCAAGCCUGAUGCAGCCAUGCCGCGUGUAUGAAGAAGGCCUUCGGGUUGUAAAGUACUUUCAGCGGGGAGGAAGGCGUAAGUCUGAACAGGGCUUACGAUUGACGUUACCCGCAGAAGAAGCACCGGCUAAC
rnacentral:rRNA from 1 species